CCUCCUUCCUUCUUCCCCGAGUGCACCAAAGCCGUGCCGACGUUUCUUCUCCUCUCCUCUGCCGCCACCACAGCGACGCCGUGCUCUAAUUGGGCUGUGCCGCCGCCGAGCCGAGCAUCUCCACCGACGCACGAGCAGUGCCGGCGACCCUUCCUCUGCCCUAGACAAACUCCAGUGCCGGCGCUGUCAUCUGUGCCCUAGCGUCUCCGCCGACGCCAAGCAUUAUCUCUCCGGGUUGUGGACAGAGGCAAAGCAAUCCGAGACUAGCCUCUUGGUGAUCCCAAUCUGCUGCCCGACACCAUUGUCUUUCACUCUCCAUUCCUCCGGCAGCCGGUUUCACUACCACCAGCAGUAGAUUUUGUAUUGUACUACCAUCACUGAAGAAGAGGAAGUGGAAACAGGGAGGAAGCAAUUGUAAAACCUCUGUAGCCGGAUUGUACCCUUGACCACCUACUUGAGUUUGGGACCUUGACGCGAGACGAGU